rnacentral:rRNA from 1 species
GAUCAUGGCUUAGGACGAACGCUGGCGGCGCGCCUAACACAUGCAAGUCGAACGGAGCUUAGAGAGCUUGCUUUUUAAGCUUAGUGGCGAACGGGUGAGUAACGCGUGAGUAACCUGCCUUAGAGUGGGGGACAACAGUUGGAAACGACUGCUAAUACCGCAUAAGCCCACGGUACCGCAUGGUACUGAGGGAAAAGGAUUUAUUCGCUUUAGGAUGGACUCGCGUCCAAUUAGCUAGUUGGUGAGGUAACGG